ACGGGUGAGUAACACGUGGGCAACCUACCUUAUCGACUGGGAUAACUCCGGGAAACCGGGGCUAAUACCGGAUAACAUCUAGCACCUCCUGGUGCUGGAUUAAAAGAGGGCUUCUUGCUCUCACGAUGAGAUGGGCCCGCGGCGCAUUAGCUAGUUGGAGAGGUAACGGCUCCCCAAGGCGACGAUGCGUAGCCGACCUGAGAGGGUGAUCGGCCACACUGGGACUGAGACACGGCCCAGACUCCUACGGGAGGCAGCAGUAGGGAAUCUUCCGCAAUGGACGAAAGUCUGACGGAGCAACGCCGCGUGAGUGAUGAAGGGUUUCGGCUCGUAAAGCUCUGUUAUGAGGGAAGAACACGUACCGUUCGAAUAGGGCGGUACCUUGACGGUACCUCAUCAGAAAGCCACGGCUAACUACGUGCCAGCAGCCGCGGUAAUACGUAGGUGGCAAGCGUUGUCCGGAAUUAUUGGGCGUAAAGCGCGCGCAGGCGGCCUUUUAAGUCUGAUGUGAAAUCUUGCGGCUCAACCGCAAGCGGCCAUUGGAAACUGGAAGGCUUGAGUACAGAAGAGGAGAGUGGAAUU
rnacentral:rRNA from 1 species